GCCACUUCACCCAACAAGACUGGAAGACUUGACUUCCUGGGCAUAUUUAUUUACUCCUGUUCUCAGCAUGGCAUCUUGCCAGACACACAGAGCACCUUGGCUGUAAUGCCCUUCCCUACAAUGCUGUACAAUGUGGUUGUCCCUUUGCUUUGAUUACCAGAUUUCAGAGUAAAGGAGUGUGUCGAAGUACAGCAAAGACAAAGACUGCCGGGGAGCCAAACACCACUCAAGGAAGAAAACGGGAGACUUCUGGUCGCCAACCUGAUAGUUCACCCCACACUGUGAUGGCUCCCCUGCAGGAAAGAGUGGGAAGGUGCCUGCUCUGGCCCCUCUUCUCCCCUCCCUCCAACAGGAUCUUCAUCAAUCCUAAGGUGAGGCAGAUCAGUCUCCGGCUUCUGGCCGGCCACUC